GACGAACGCUGGCGGCGUGCCUAAUACAUGCAAGUCGAACGAGAGCGACCGGUGCUUGCACUGGUCAAUCUAGUGGCGAACGGGUGAGUAACACGUGGGUAACCUGCCCAUCAGAGGGGGAUAACAUCCGGAAACGGAUGCUAAAACCGCAUAGGUCUUCGAACCGCAUGGUUUGAAGAGGAAAAGAGGCGCAAGCUUCUGCUGAUGGAUGGACCCGCGGUGCAUUAGCUAGUUGGUGAGGUAACGGCUCACCAAGGCCGUGAUGCAUAGCCGACCUGAGGGGGUGAUCGGCCACAUUGGGACUGAGACACGGCCCAAACUCCUACGGGAGGCAGCAGUAGGGAAUCUUCCGCAAUGGACGCAAGUCUGACGGAGCAACGCCGCGUGAGUGAAGAAGGUUUUCGGAUCGUAAAACUCUGUUGUUAGAGAAGAACAAGUGCUAGAGUAACUGUUAGCGCCUUGACGGUAUCUAACCAGAAAGCCACGGCUAACUACGUG
rnacentral:rRNA from 1 species